rnacentral:rRNA from 1 species
AAGUCAGUGACCUAACCGUAAGGAAGGAGCUGCCGAAGGCGGGACUGAUAACUGGGGUGAAGUCGUAACAAGGUAGCCGUAUCGGAAGGUGCGGCUGGAUCACCUCCUUUCUAAGGAA